GUUUGGAUAGUUUAAAUAAAACAUUACAUUUUCAUUGUAAAAUUAAACUUUGUUUUACAAAUA
rnacentral:tRNA from 1 species